GAAAACUCCAUGGACAGAAUGGUCCACAGGCUCCCAAAGAACCAAACCACCAAAAAAUCCAACAAAUGAGGCAGUUCAGCAGCCCAGCAGAUAGAGGGUUGGACUGAAAGUCAGGAAGCUCCGAGUUCAGAUCCAGACCCAGAUAUUAGAUAUGUAGCCCUGGGUAAGUCACAUAAUCUCUGAAAUGGGGAUAAAGAUGGCACCUUCCUCACAGGUUGUUGUGAAGAUAAAUUAAGAUAUCUCUCAAGCACUCUGCAGAUCUAGGAAGGUGGCAAAAAGGAAGGCCCCACCCCCACCCCCGCCUCUGGGCAGCGCGCAUGCGCAAUCAUGGAAACAGGGCUCUUGGGAGUCCGGAAGCCCAGGCUGCCGCUGCCGCUCUGCUCCGUGCUUGAGUGGGUGACCUUGGAGGGCAUUUCUCAGCCUUAGAGGAAGCUUCUUGAUAGGACCUUUUGGUUCACACCUCCAAGUGCUCUGGGAAGGGGAGCUAUUGAUACACAAGUUUAUAGGAAAGCGAAGCCCGUCUGGCGACUCGGUGACAGAGUCACCUGGCCACUGAACAAGGAGCACGUGGGGGGAGGAGGGCUGGCAAGGACCACAAGAGAAACAGCCCCCUCCAUUUUAGGGCCGGGACUCUCUCUUGCUGUGGAUCAUGGCCAGGUAUGAAGAGAAAAUGGAUCUCAUUUUUGGUGAGAAACCUUUGUAUUCUAUAUUUUCUUAGCUGGCACAGUGUGUCAAUGACUAUAAGCUACAUUUUUGAAUUUUAAAACUCUUUUAUUAUAUUUUUCUUGCAUGUGCAAUAUACUAUUUCAGUCUUUUAUUUUUUCUCUUCUUUUUAUAUUUGAAGCACAUGUCACCAGUAUUAAGAUUUUAACUUUUUUGAUUUUGCAGUCAUAUAAGUUUAAAAUAUAUUUGCUAUAAUGUCAAUGCAUGCCCCCAAAAGCUUGAGACUGUAAAAACAAUGCCACUAACUGUUUAAAAGAAAAAAACAUUAUGGGACUUUGCUUAAUGAUUCUGAUUCCAGGACAAGAUAAUACACAAAGAGGCAUUUCACAGGGCCAAAGGAGCACAAAGCUAAACCUGAAUCAUGCCAAAAGAUCACAGAGGUCAAAAAAGAAGAAACCAAUUCAGUGUGGCAACUUUCUGUAGUCCUGGCUACUGACUGGAAACUGAACUGUUUGGAGAAGACACCAUGAAGAUGCCUCCACAGACCACAAGCUGCACGAGAAGGAUCAAGAAUGAACUUUGGGUG
rnacentral:lncRNA from 1 species